UACGAAGGGGGCUAGCGUUGCUCGGAAUUACUGGGCGUAAAGCGUGCGUAGGCGGUUCGUUAAGUCCGUUGUGAAAGCCCUGGGCUCAACCUGGGAAUGGCAGUGGAUACUGGCGAGCUAGAGUGUGAUAGAGGAUGGUGGAAUUCCCGGUGUAGCGGUGAAAUGCGUAGAGAUCGGGAGGAACACCAGUGGCGAAGGCGGCCAUCUGGAUCAACACUGACGCUGAGGCACGAAAGCGUGGGGAGCAAACAGG
rnacentral:rRNA from 1 species